UACGUAGGGUGCAAGCGUUGUCCGGAAUUAUUGGGCGUAAAGAGCUCGUAGGCGGUUUGUCGCGUCUGCUGUGAAAACUCGGGGCUUAACCCCGGGCCUGCAGUGGGUACGGGCAGACUAGAGUGCGGUAGGGGAGACUGGAAUUCCUGGUGUAGCGGUGAAAUGCGCAGAUAUCAGGAGGAACACCGAUGGCGAAGGCAGGUCUCUGGGCCACUACUGACGCUGAGAAGCGAAAGCAUGGGGAGCGAACGGG
rnacentral:rRNA from 1 species